ACGCUCGACACCUACGGGAGGCAGCAGUGGGGAAUAUUGCACAAUGGGGGAAACCCUGAUGCAGCGACGCCGCGUGGAGGAAGAAGGUCUUCGGAUUGUAAACUCCUGUUGUUGGGGAAAAAGNGGAUGGUACCCAACAAGGAAGUGACGGCUAACUACGUACCAGCAGCCGCGGUAAUCUGAGCGGGCUGGCAAGGC
rnacentral:rRNA from 1 species